rnacentral:rRNA from 1 species
CCUACGGGAGGCAGCAGUGAGGAAUAUUGGUCAAUGGACGCGAGUCUGAACCAGCCAAGUAGCGUGAAGGAUGACUGCCCUAUGGGUUGUAAACUUCUUUUAUAAAGGAAUAAAACGAGGCACGUGUGCCUUUUUGCAUGUACUUUAUGAAUAAGGCUCGGCUAACUCCGUGCCAGCAGCCGCGGUAAUACGGAGGAUCCGAGCGUUAUCCGGAGUUCUUGGGUUUAAAGGGAGCGUAGAUGGGUUGUUAAGUCAGUUGUGAAAGUUUGCGGCUCAACCGUAAAAUUGCAAUUGAUACUGGCAGUCUUGAGUACAUUUGAGGUAAGCGGAAUUCGUGGUGUAGCGGUGAAAUGCUUAGAUAUCACGAAGAACCCCGAUUGCGAAGGCAGCUUACUAAACUGUGACUGACAUUGAUGCUCGAAAGUGUGGGUAUCAAACAGGAUUAGAUACCCUAGUAGUC